rnacentral:rRNA from 1 species
AGAUUUGUCUGCACGUUUAAAUGUGUAGCAGGUUUAGUCGGAGCUGUUGCAGGUGUCCAUCUGCUACACUUCCGCAGCAGGUUUCUCGUUGGCUUCCGGUCCAAGGAGGAAGGGCGGCUCUGAUCCUUCUCCGCGCGUUGGUAGCAGUCUAGCGGCGGCAUGGCGUGGUGGGAUAGGCUCGGCUCUACCUUCCGCUGCUCUCAAAGGACCCGUACAACUUGAAACCACAGAGUUGUGUUCACGGCCUAUCAGGUCAACCUCUCGUUCUCAGCGGGUACGACGGUUGAGUUUUUUGUAGAUGUUGACACUUUCCUUUUAGGUGGUUCCCCUUCUUAACCAGAUAACUUCUCCUAUUAGACAACCACCGUCGUACCCACGUGUGAUUAAACCUACGAAACUAUCUUUGUCUAGUUUGUAGUUUAAGAAUAACCCCAUCCUAAAUACUAAUGAUGUCGUGCGCGUUCUUUCACAGUACCGGCCACGCACAAGUUUUACGUGAGUUGACAGCAACCUGGUGAUAAUUACUUGUUCACUCGUUCAAAACACCUAUGAUAGUCGUUUAUGAAUUAUCUUUGGUUUCGCCUCACUGAUAACGAGUCGUCGUUCGGGUCCGUGAACAAGACAUGGUCAGGUUUCUAGGAUUUUUCUCCGGUAAAUGUAAUUACGUAACAACCAAUCACAACCUUUUCGUAGGAUUCACCCUCUUAGCACACUAAAGGUUCCCCGGAGUCUUUUUCGUCUUCUUCUGGAGCCUACGUUCAGGUCCAUGCUGAAGAUUACUGCUUCUGAAGCUCUCUACGUGACUACGAGAACUUUGUCUCUGUUCUGGACUACCAUUAUUCGCCCUCUUUUGGGUAAAUGUUUUUCGAUUUCGAAGACGAAGACUACGAAAAUCAGGGUUCAAUAGUAAUCUUUUACACACCCGUGUUUUCAAUUUCUUCCGACUCCAGUUUCAAUGGUUCUCUCCCUCUACAGUAUGUUCGUUAAACUCAAUCUUCUCUUCUAGUACAGGUACCUGUGAUGACAAUACUAACCCCGAGUUGUUCUUAUGAUGUACUUGUUCGUCUUACUCUAGCGGCGAGCGGCCAAGUUGUGUAGCCCAACUUGGUAAACAGUCCAUUUUUCCAUGGACAGAGAGGCACAAUAGACUUCUAUUAUUUAAGUAGCUGUUCUGUUUAUAAGAAGUCUAUUGAGGUGUGCCCUCGGUCUCGUUCUCGAACAUCGAAACAAUUACAAAGAGGUCUCUGUUAGUACGUACGACCCUGUUUCGAUUCCAGUUGCAAAACUAGAUGCGGUCUUCGUUUGAAGUCAAAAGUUACGAGGAGUCUCGGACUAAAGAAUUACCUUCUAAGGCACCUGUACUUGUCCUACGACCAAAGAUCCUCGAAUACGUGCGGCAAAGAAUAAUUGACGUUCAUGACUACAAAACUUCAUUUUAUUACGUACACGUGUACGACUCCGCUUCACCAACACCAAACACUGACUAGUUCAAUCAACUAACAUCCAAGUCUUAUUAUAAUCAUGUUAGUAUGAUCAGGGGUAAAACAUAAACAACUCAAGACCUACCACCCCGGUGUACCAGCAUUGAGUGUGACACGACACUAUAUUAUACAUUUUUAUAAAACGCGGGCCCUAAACAACGUGAAUGUCUUGUCGACAACCGGACGACGAAGGUAUUUAAUUAAUGUCAAGUGUCAAUGCCAACAUUUGAUACUCUUGACUCGAUCCAACAACUUGGGC